UUUUUGCGAUCAAAGCUGAUGGUACUAUCACAGUGAAAACCCCUCCAGAUUAUGAAAUCCUCAAUGAAUUCAGUAUUACAGUGACUGCAACAAACAACAAAACCGCUCCUUUCCAUCAGAAUCAAACAACCGUGAUUAUUUCUGUACUGGAUGUGAAUGAUAACCCUCCAGUGUUUCCUCAAAGUAACUAUACAGCCAGUGUGAAUCUGACAUCCCCACUGGGAACUCAAGUAACUUCAGUUACUGCUACUGAUAAAGAUCAGGGGAGUAAUGGUGUAAUAGAGUAUCAUCUACUGGAUGAUGAGCCGCACAGCAAAUACUUUCUUAUUGAGAACCAGCUUAAAGGAAGGAUUAUAACGAUACAGAAACUCCCCAGCUCUGGAGACUACUCCUUCAUUGUAGAAGCGCGGGACCGAGGUGAACCCUCACUCAACAGCACAGCCGUUGUUAAUGUGCAGGUUGUAGAUGACAGGCCUGAAGUGCCUGAUUUCAACAAGACUGA